UGAGGAAUAUUGGUCAAUGGACGCAAGUCUGAACCAGCCAUGCCGCGUGCAGGAAGACGGCUCUAUGAGUUGUAAACUGCUUUUGUACGAGGGUAAACGCAGAUACGUGUAUCUGUCUGAAAGUAUCGUACGAAUAAGGAUCGGCUAACUCCGUGCC
rnacentral:rRNA from 1 species